rnacentral:sRNA from 1 species
GUCACGGAGAAUCUGUGCCGCUCAGACUCCGGUGGAAGCUGCUCGAUGUAGUCCUUGAAGCUCUGUGAGCUGCCCAGGCAUUGCUACGCCGACUUUCCACAUGAGGAAACGGAGGCUCUGAGGAGCGAAGGCACUUCCGAAAGUCACACUGCUUGUGCCGUGCUACUCGUAUGGGCAGAAGCUGUCCAAACUGGCCAUCCUGAGGAUCGCCUGUAACUACAUCCUGUCCCUGGCGCGGCUGGCUGACCUCGACUACAGUGCCGACCACAGCAACCUCAGCUUCUCUGAGUGUGUGCAGCGCUGCACCCGCACCCUGCAGGCUGAGGGACGUGCCAAGAAGCGCAAGGAAAGUUCUGCACGGCCUUGACUGACUCUGAGGUUUGAACACAUCCACUGGCUUCAGUGAAGGAGGGGUUUGACCGCUGGCCCUACCUUGCUCCUGGCCUGGGGCCUGUGGGGCAGCUGUCUGCACAGCGCGGCUGAGGCCUGUGCCAGUCCCCUCCUUUCUGGUCCCUGGGGAGCUUGGAGGCCAGAAGCCCAGGCUUUGUGCCUGUGCCCAGAAUAACCUCUGCAAAGCCUGGCCCUUGGAGAAGAUAUGAAAGCAGAUCUGUCAAACGCAAGGAUGUCCAGGCUUGAGUGUUAAAGAAAACACCAAUGCAGCUUAUGAUGCAGCUUGUACAGCGUAAUUCCACUUUUCGUAAAAUACUGUAUG